rnacentral:lncRNA from 1 species
GAUAAUUCCCAGAUCCAGAGAAGUGGGGCCAGAAGGUCCUGGGAGCCCUCCGGAACUCUGCUGCCUGGCAGUCCUUCAGUUUCGGGAGCUUUUCUGUCUGCCCGUGGCCUCGGCUGCCACCUGGUGGCUGCACGCUCCAAAGGAAGCGUAGAUUGAUGAGAGCCUCGGAAGUUGAGCUUCAGGCGCGGCUCUUCCCCGUCACACUGGGACCGGACGCAUUUCCAUGGCGUGGUCCCAGGAACCUCUCAGGUCAUGCCAGCAACUGGGACUUCCUGUGGAAUGCAAGGGCAGUGGGGCCUCCGCGAGAGAGAGAGAGAGAGAGAGAGAGAGAAGAGAGAGAUAUUAAGGAUGAAUCCCAGUGUCUGCUCUGAGCAAAUUGGAAGACGAUGGCAUCAGGGGCACUGCUCUGGGCUAUAUAGACUGUGCCUCCACUAAAGGGUCCCUGAGACCAGGUGUGGGCCCGUAUCCCUGGAGGGAGAGGUAACUUCCUCUGAUUCGAAGGCAUCAUAUAGGCUAGUGAAUGGCACUGAGAAUGGCAGAUGCCAGGGACAAGCAGGAGCAUGUGUGGGAUGAGGAUGCGGCGUGGAUGUGUGACGUUUCAGAGCCUGCAACACAUCCGUAGGGAAGUCCUGGAGGAGCAGUUGGGUGCAUGGUGGAGUUCUGAAACAGCUGGGCAGUCGGCACUUGAGCCAGAGAUUCUGCUUUCGACCUGGAUGCCCAUUGAGAGGUUAAGAGCUCAGGUCUGGGUCAGGCAGCUUGGAAGCAGCACAGCUUGGACACUUGGUAGCCUGGGACUGUGGUUAAAUCAACGUGACUCUCGGAGCUCCAGUUCACUGUAAAUUAGGGCAGUAAAUGAUGUCUACAUGAUAAGUGGUGUUAUGAAUGUUAAACAUUCACAUGAAAUACAUAGAAUAGUGCUUAGCAUACAGUACACAAUAACUGUUAGCUAUUUGGAAAAUUACUAUUGUUAUUAUGAUUAUUUAUUACAGAGUGAACUGAAUUGGAUGCAAGAUCACGGUGCGUCAGAGCUAGCAAGAUCCUUAGGAUCAUUUAGCCUGGUUUACUAAUAUUACACUAUGGAAUUUAAGCCCAAGGAAUGGAGAGUACCCGACGAGCGUUAUGUAAGGAGUCGAGUGAGAAGUAAGCUGGAUGCUCUGCUUGGCUGGCAGGUACAGAAUGUGCCAGACCCAUCUGUACCAGCCUGGAUCUCUUGAGGCAUCAGCACAAUGGACCUGGCCACACCAGUUUAUUCCACACCGCUGAGGCUGGUCUUUGAGGAAUCACCACACUGUCUUCCACAAUGCACCAUGGAAUACUAUGCAGACAUAAAAAGGAAUGAGAUCAUGUCGUUUGCAGGGACAUGGAUGGAGCUAGAAGCCAUUAUCCUCAGAAAACUAACACAGGAACAGAAAACCAAAUACCACAUGUUCUCACUUAUAAGUGGGAGCUGAAUGAUGAGAACACAUGGACACGUGGUGCGGGAACAAUACACCUGGGGCCUGUUGGAGGGUGGGGGCUGGGAGGAGGGAGAGCAUCAAGAAUAGCUAAUGAGGCCAGGCACAGUGGCUCACGCCUGUAAUCCUAGCAUUUUGGGAGGCUGAGGCGGGCAGAUCAUUUGAGGUCAGGAGUUUGAGACCAGCCUGGCCAAUAUGGUGAAACCCCGUCUCUAUUAAAAAUACAAAAAUAUUAGCCAGGCAUGGUGGCAAUGCCCGUAGUCCCUGCAACUUGGGAGGCUGAGGCAGGAGAAUCGUUUGAACCUGGGAGGUGGAGUUUGCAGUGAGCCAAGAUCGCGCCACUGCACUCCAGCCUGGGCGACAGAGUGAGGCUCCAUUAAAAAAAAAAAAAAAAAAAGAAGAGCAAAUGAAUGCUGGGCAUAAUAUCUAGAUGAUGGGAUGAUCUGUGCAGCAAACCACUAUGGCACAUGUUUACCUAUGUAACAAACCUGCACAUCCUCCACAUGUACCCCUGAACUUAAGAGUUGGAAAUCAAAAAGAAAAAAGGUAUUAACUCAAAAUAAAAACAGUGUGUACUAUUUUUCUAAUCAGCAAAUGUUAUUUUAUUUUUUACUAUUAUUUUUAGAGUCGAUAUCUUGCUCUGUCACACAGUCUGGAGUGCAGUGGCAUGAUUAGCUUUGAAUUCCUGUUCAAGUGAUCCUCCCACCUCAGUCUCCAGAGUAGCUAGGGCUACAGGCAGUGCUGCCACACCUGGAUAAUUUUUAAAUUUUUUAUAGAGUUGGGGUCUUGCUAUGUUGCCCAGGCUUGUCUCAGACUCCUGGCCUUAAGUGAUCCUCCUGCCUCUGUCUUCUGAGUCGCUGGAUUACAGGUAUGAGCCACCAUGCUCAGCAGAAAAUUAAAUUUUUUUUUAACAAGUCAUUAGUUCCUGGGAAUUCUAUUUCACUUCCAAAUCCACCUCAUUUUGCAGUGCCCUGUUCUUAGUAGUCCUGGUUUAGGAAGAGUCGUGUUUCACAUGAUCAAGGUAGCCAACACAAUGAAAGUUGAGUUCACAGAGUAUUUAUUUAUUUUGGUCCCUCACAGAGUAUCUAUUUAUUUUUGGUCCCUCACAGAGUAUUUGUUUAUUUUUGUUCCCUCAAAUAAUUCAGCACAAUUAAAUUCAGCAAAUAUUUAUUGAACACUUGGAGAUGAUGAUGGAAAAUUAUGUUCACAUGGUGCCAUUUGGUACAACGGAAAUGGCAUGAGAUUUGGACCAAACCAGAAUUGUCUUAAAUCCUGGCUUUGUUAGUUUUAGGUAUGUCAUCUUGAGCAGUUCACUUCACUUUUUGAGCCACAAUUUCUCUUCCUUACAUAAAGAUAUUUAUAAAUACCCCACAGGUUGUUAUAAUAAAGGUUGAAGAUGCUUGGCACAUAAGCAAAAAUUAUGAAUAAAUAUGUAUUAAAAUAUAAAAUAACUACAAAAUAAAAUAAAAAUAUUGUUUUUCU